GACCUCAGAUCAGGCAAGGCUACCCG
rnacentral:rRNA from 1 species